GAUCAUGGCUCAGGAUAAACGCUAGCGGCAGGCCUAACACAUGCAAGUCGAGGGGCAGCGGGUGGAGUAUUUCGGUACUCCUGCCGGCGACCGGCGCACGGGUGCGUAACGCGUAUGCAACCUACCUUUAACAGGGGGAUAAUCCGAAGAAAUUUGGUCUAAUACCCCAUAAUAUCAUUUAAGGCAUCUUAGGUGGUUGAAAAUUCCGAUGGUUAGAGAUGGGCAUGCGUUGUAUUAGCUAGUUGGUGAGG
rnacentral:rRNA from 1 species